rnacentral:lncRNA from 1 species
UGGGGGGGGGGGGUUGAAAAGGUUUCACCAUGCAUGAAAAUGAAAUUAAAACAGUAAAAACGAAACUGCUACAGUAAUUACGAAAAUUCACGCUGGAACUGGACAGCUCUGACCUUUGCUCAAUGUUUUACUCAUAACUUUCUCUACAGAGCUCUAAAUGAGAUGGGGUUUUUUUUCCUGGAAAGUAGACUCAAUUAUGUUUCAUGUGAUAUAUAAAACGUAGCAUUUGGACCUCUGGUGUGGUAGCAGUAAUGUUUUUAAAAUCGAGUCCAGAGAGUGAAAAUGCUAAACCCAAUACUAGAGCAAACAAAUAUCUAGCACAAUUAAAAAUUAUUAAAAUGCAACACUCAAUUAAAAAGAUGAAAAGUAAUUAAACAUGUAAUGUAAAAUAUUCUAAGACAAAAGACAUUAGAAAGCAUAAACUUUUUCU